UGUCCUCAAGUGACGCCUUAAAACUUCUCACCAACUCGCUUAAAAUCUCUUCAUAAAGUUCCAACAUUGUGAAAACGUCUCUCUCUUGUCCUGUGGUCGAAUCUCACAGCGCUGCCGCCCGGUUGGUCCGUGUCCAUAAGCUUUCAGAAAAGAGUAUCUAGCGUUAGGCAUGAAUGAGCCUUUAUAUCUACCUGGUACGAUUCCCUGUGAAAUCACGUUUGCUGCAUGCAGACGAGAGGAGCCUGUAUGUGCUGUAGCUGUCUUAACAGGAAGGUUUUAUUUUCAACGUUACAUUUUGAAGCAAAGGCUCGAAGAGACACUGAGCAUGAAUCAAAACACGAGACAACUCAGUCCGUCAUCAACAGAUGGAGAGCAAAGCUCCUCUUGGAUCGGUCGUCUCCCUGCUGGACAGCGCUGAUGGCAGAAAUGAGAAAAUGCUGCAGUCAGAAACAACAGCCGCUCCCCGGCAGCGAUGCUAUCACCGCAGGCAGCAUCAGAGAGCUCCCCAGAUUCCCCAAAGUGAUCAGCGAUUCCCAGAGACCAAGAUGACGUCCUCAGAUGUCUUGUUCUCAAUUCAGUUUACUGUCAUGGAGGAGUAAAGAAACCAGGAAAUCAGAGGAUAUUUCAGAUUCAUUCAUAGAUGCAGCGAAGAGAGGGGUGAGAUGACAAGGAUGCAUGAGGAGUGUGGGAGUGAGAAGAAGAAGAGGAAGAAGAAGAAGAAGAAGAAGAAGAACACGCCCCAGUUACUCUCCAUUAACGCUGCUGUCGAAGCUGCCGCCGCCGCCGCCACUGCUGCUCCAAAGUUAAAUCACCCUGCAGCUUCCACAUCCCAUGAGUCCUGCGAGGGGAACCAUUUUAGACGUGCUGUGGAGGAACUGGUGUUAAAAUGGAGCGCCCAUCGGACCGUGACCGCGGCUCUCCUGGAAAUGGAUGGACGGGCUGACAGGAUGACGGGGUGGUGGGAUGAUGUAAAGAUGUGUGGAGACAGAAGGAGAGAAGCACUAACAGGGAUACUGAGAUUGCAUUUGUUUUGCGGGCCAAAUGAAACAUCAGCUUUAUAGAAGAUAAGGAGAAAGAGAGAGAGAUGGAUUUUCUGAGGCGGCUUCAUCACUCAGUGUUGUCUCUCAUUUCCCUUGAAGUUGAAGUGUCCUUGGACAAGAUACUGAACCCAAAACUGUUCCUGAUGUGCUGGUCAGCACCUUGCAUGGCAGCCGCCGCCAUCAGUGUUGUACCGCUGCUUUGCAUGAGAACGGUUUCAGGACUCAGAAUUCUUGAUGAUUCUUGAUUCGCCUCACCAGAGCACUUGGACAUGCAACGUUGGUUUGAUGUCUUGGUGUCUGCAAAAACCCUUCCUGGAUAAUCUUGUGCAUCGGCGUGACCUCCUCCUCCUCCUCCUCCUCCUCCUCCUCCUCCUCCUCCUUCUCCUCCAUGUCUGUUGGAAGUCCAUCUGCAGUCACAUCAAACAUCAUGAUUUCAGUAUUAUAUUAAAU